AUUGAACGCUGGCGGCAUGCCUUACACAUGCAAGUCGAACGGCAGCACGGGGCAACCUGGUGGCGAGUGGCGAACGGGUGAGUAAUGCAUCGGAACGUGCCAUUGAGUGGGGGAUAACGUAGCGAAAGUUGCGCUAAUACCGCAUAUUCUGUGAGCAGGAAAGCAGGGGACCGCAAGGCCUUGCGCUCUUUGAGCGGCCGAUGUCAGAUUAGCUAGUUGGUGAGGUAACGGCUUACCAAGGCGACGAUCUGUAGCGGGUCUGAGAGGAUGAUCCGCCACACUGGAACUGAGACACGGUCCAGACUCCUACGGGAGGCAGCAGUGGGGAAUCUUGCGCAAUGGACGAAAGUCUGACGCAGCAACGCCGCGUGAGUGAAGAAGGCCUUUGGGUUGUAAAGCUCUGUCGGGCGGGACGAACGGUCAGUAGGUUAAUAGCCUAUUGAAUUGACGGUACCG
rnacentral:rRNA from 1 species